AAACUGCUGGUGUCUCGUAUAGAUGUCUGAUGGAUUUUAAGCGUUCACAAUAUGACACCUCGGUGUAACCAGUAAUGGUUUAUUGUAUUGUGUCGUGAUCAGCAGUGUAUUUGUUUAGUAAUCUUCAUGACCCGUCUUGAAACACGGACCAAGAAGUCUAUUUUAUGCGCGAGUCAAUGAGAUUUAUAAACCUCAGAGGCGUAAUUAACAUAACUAUUUUGUUUGGGAUUACGAAUUCUGUUUAAUAGAGAAUUUCUC
rnacentral:rRNA from 1 species